rnacentral:rRNA from 1 species
AUUGAACGCUGGCGGCAGGCCGAACACAUGCAAGUCGAACGGUAACAGGAAGACGCUUGCUUCUUUGCUGACGAGUGGCGGACGGGUGAGUAAUGUCUGGGAAACUGCCUGAUGGAGGGGGAUAACUACUGGAAACGGUAGCUAAUACCGCAUAACGUCGCAAGACCAAAGAGGGGGACCUUCGGGCCUCUUGCCAUCGGAUGUGCCCAGAUGGGAUUAGCUAGUAGGUGGGGUAACGGCUCACCUAGGCGACGAUCCCUAGCUGGUCUGAGAGGAUGACCAGCCACACUGGAACUGAGACACGGUCCAGACUCCUACGGGAGGCAGCAGUGGGGAAUAUUGCACAAUGGGCGCAAGCCUGAUGCAGCCAUGCCGCGUGUAUGAAGAAGGCCUUCGGGUUGUAAAGUACUUUCAGCGGGGAGGAAGGGAGUAAAGUUAAUACCUUUGCUCAUUGACGUUACCCGCAGAAGAAGCACCGGCUAACUCCGUG